UUUGCGUGAAUACAUAGCGCAUUCGAGGUAGACGCAGAGAACUGAAACAUCUAAGUACCUGCAGGAAGAGAAAGAAAAUUCGAUUCCCUGAGUAGCGGCGAGCGAAACGGGAAAAGCCCAAACCAAUGAGCUUGCUCAUUGGGGUUGUAGGACUCCAAUAUGGUAGUUCUUUCAGAUAGUCGAAUGACUUGGAAAAGUCAGUCAAAGAGGGUAAAAACCCCGUAGAUGAAAUUUGGAAGGCACCUAGGAGGAUCCUGAGUACGGCGGAACACGAGGAAUUCCGUCGGAAUCCGGGAGGACCAUCUCCCAAGGCUAAAUACUCCCUAGUGACCGAUAGUGAACCAGUACCGUGAGGGAAAGGUGAAAAGCACCCCGGAAGGGGAGUGAAAUAGAACCUGAAACCGUGUGCCUACAACAAGUCAAAGCCCGUUAAUGGGUGAUGGCGUGCCUUUUGUAGAAUGAACCGGCGAGUUACGAUUGCAUGCGAGGUUAAGUUGAAGAGACGGAGCCGCAGCGAAAGCGAGUCUGAAUAGGGCGUUUGAGUAUGUAGUCGUAGACCCGAAACCAUGUGAUCUACCCAUGUCCAGGUUGAAGGUGCGGUAAAACGCACUGGAGGACCGAACCCACGUACGUUGAAAAGUGCGGGGAUGAGGUGUGGGUAGCGGAGAAAUUCCAAACGAACUUGGAGAUAGCUGGUUCUCUCCGAAAUAGCUUUAGGGCUAGCCUCGGAAUUGAGAAUGAUGGAGGUAGAGCACUGUUUGGACUAGGGGCCCAUCUCGGGUUACCGAAUUCAGAUAAACUCCGAAUGCCAUUCAUUCAUAUCCGGGAGUCAGACUGUGAGUGAUAAGAUCCAUAGUCGAAAGGGAAACAGCCCAGACCACCAGCUAAGGUCCCAAAAUAUAUGUUAAGUGGAAAAGGAUGUGGGGUUGCACAGACAACU
rnacentral:rRNA from 1 species